rnacentral:rRNA from 1 species
GCACCUUCCGAUACGGCUACCUUGUUACGACUUCACCCCAGUCAUGAAGCUCACCGUGGUAAGCGCCCUCCUUGCGGUUAAGCUACCUACUUCUGGUAAACCCCACUCCCAUGGUGUGACGGGCGGUGUGUACAAGACCCGGGAACGUAUUCACCGCGACAUGCUGAUCCGCGAUUACUAGCGAUUCCGACUUCACGCAGUCGAGUUGCAGACUGCGAUCCGGACUACGAUCGGCUUUCUGAGAUUGGCUCCCCCUCGCGGGUUGGCAACCCUCUGGACCGACCAUUGUAUGACGUGUGAAGCCCUACCCAUAAGGGCCAUGAGGACUUGACGUCAUCCCCACCUUCCUCCGGUUUGUCACCGGCAGUCUCAUUAAAGUGCCCAACU